rnacentral:rRNA from 1 species
GACGAACGCUGGCGGCGUGCCUAAUACAUGCAAGUAGAACGCACAGUUUAUACCGUAGCUUGCUACACCAUAGACUGUGAGUUGCGAACGGGUGAGUAACGCGUAGGUAACCUGCCUGGUAGCGGGGGAUAACUAUUGGAAACGAUAGCUAAUACCGCAUAAUAUUAAUUAUUGCAUGAUAAUUAAUUGAAAGGUGCAAUUGCACCACUACCAGAUGGACCUGCGUUGUAUUAGCUAGUAGGUGAGGUAACGGCCCACCUAGGCGACGAUACAUAGCCGACCUGAGAGGGUGAUCGGCCACACUGGGACUGAGACACGGCCCAGACUCCUACGGGAGGCAGCAGUAGGGAAUCUUCGGCAAUGGACGAAAGUCUGACCGAGCAACGCCGCGUGAGUGAAGAAGGGUGUCGGGUCGUAAAGCUCUGUUGUAAGGGAAGAACGGGUGUGAGAGUGGAAAGUUCACACUGUGACGGUAUCUUACCAGAAAGGGACGGCUAACUACGUG